rnacentral:rRNA from 1 species
UACGUACCGUCCAAACGUUAUUCGGAAUUACUGGGCUUAAAGGGUACGUAGGCGGCGCUGUUAGUCGGGUGUGAAAUCCCUCGGCUCAACCGAGGAAUUGCGCCCGAAACUGCAGUGCUUGAGGGAGACAGAGGUAAGCGGAACUGAUGGUGGAGCGGUGAAAUGCGUUGAUAUCAUCAGGAACACCAGUGGCGAAAGCGGCUUACUGGGUCUCUUCUGACGCUGAGGUACGAAAGCAUGGGGAGCGAACGGG